rnacentral:pre_miRNA from 1 species
CGUUCUUCCGGGUGGGGCGGGGGGAAGGGGGAGGGUGCUUUUCCACUUGCGCGGAAAAGCACCCUCCCCCUUCCCCCCGCCCCACCCGGAAGAACGC